UACGAAGGUGGCUAGCGUUGCUCGGAAUCACUGGGCGUAAAGCGCACGUAGGCGGAUUGCUAAGUCAGGUGUGAAAUCCUGGAGCUCAACUCCAGAACUGCCUUUGAUACUGGCAAUCUCGAGUCCGGGAGAGGUGAGUGGAACUGCGAGUGUAGAGGUGAAAUUCGUAGAUAUUCGCAAGAACACCAGUGGCGAAGGCGGCUCACUGGCCCGGUACUGACGCUGAGGCACGAAAGCGUGGGGAGCAAACAGG
rnacentral:rRNA from 1 species